rnacentral:rRNA from 1 species
UACGAAGGGGGCUAGCGUUGCUCGGAAUCACUGGGCGUAAAGGGUGCGUAGGCGGGUCUUUAAGUCAGGGGUGAAAUCCCGGAGCUCAACUCCGGAACUGCCUUUGAUACUGAGGGUCUCGAGUCCGGGAGAGGUGAGUGGAACUGCGAGUGUAGAGGUGAAAUUCGUAGAUAUUCGCAAGAACACCAGUGGCGAAGGCGGCUCACUGGCCCGGUACUGACGCUGAGGUGCGAAAGCGUGGGGAGCAAACAGG